CUACGGGUGGCUCCAGUGAGGAAUAUUGCACAAUGGGGGGAACCCUGAUGCAGCAACGCCGCGUGGAGGAUGACGCAUUUCGGUGUGUAAACUCCUUUUAUAUGUCAAGAAAAUGACGGUAGCAUAUGAAUAAGCACCGGCUAACUCCGUGCCAGCAGCCGCGGUAAUACGGAGGGUGCAAGCGUUACUCGGAAUCACUGGGCGUAAAGGACGCGUAGGCGGGCUGGAAAGUCAGGUGUGAAAUCCUACAGCUUAACUGUAGAACUGCACUUGAAACUUCUAAUCUAGAGUAUGGGAGGGGGAGAUGGAAUUAGUGGUGUAGGGGUAAAAUCCGUAGAUAUCACUAGGAAUACCUAAAGCGAAGGCGAUCUCCUGGAGCAUUACUGACGCUAAGGCGUGAAAGCGUGGGGAGCAAACAGGAUUAGAUACCCCCGUAGUC
rnacentral:rRNA from 1 species